UACGGGGGGGGCAAGCGUUGUUCGGAAUUACUGGGCGUAAAGGGCUCGUAGGUGGCCAACUAAGUCAGACGUGAAAUCCCCAGGCUCAACUUGGGAACUGCGUCUGAUACUGGAUGGCUUGAAUUCGGGAGAGGGAUGCGGAAUUCCAGGUGUAGCGGUGAAAUGCGUAGAUAUCGGGAGGAACACCAGUGGCGAAGGCGACUACCUGGCCUGUUCUUGACGCUGAGGCGCGAAAGCUAGGGGAGCAAACGGG
rnacentral:rRNA from 1 species